rnacentral:rRNA from 1 species
ACUCCUACGGGAGGCAACAGUGGGGAAUAUUGGACAAUGGGCGCAAGCCUGAUCCAGCCAUGCCGCGUGAGUGAUGAAGGCCCUAGGGUUGUAAAGCUCUUUCACCGGUGAAGAUAAUGCCGGUAACCGGAGAAGCAGCCCCGGCUAACUUCGUGCCAGCAGCCGCGGUAAUACGAAGGGGGCUAGCGUUGUUCGGAUUUACUGGGCGUAAAGCGCACGGAGGCGGACUAUUAAGUCAGGGGUGAAAUCCCGGGGCUCAACCCCGGAACUGCCUUUGAUACUGGUAGUCUUGAGUUCGAGAGAGGUGAGUGGAAUUCCGAGUGUAGAGGUGAAAUUCGUAGAUAUUCGGAGGAACACCAGUGGCGAAGGCGGCUCACUGGCUCGAUACUGACGCUGAGGUGCGAAAGCGUGGGGAGCAAACAGGAUUAGAAACCCUAGUAGUCCCAUGAU